rnacentral:rRNA from 1 species
UACAGAGGGUGCAAGCGUUGUUCGGAAUUAUUGGGCGUAAAGCGCGUGUAGGCGGCUUUGCAAGCCGGAUGUGAAAUCCCCGGGCUUAACCUGGGAACUGCAUUCGGGACUGCAUGGCUAGAGUAUGGGAGAGGGAAGUGGAAUUUCAGGUGUAGCGGUGAAAUGCGUAGAUAUCUGAAGGAACAUCAGUGGCGAAAGCGACUUCCUGGACCAAUACUGACGCUCAUGUGCGAAAGCGUGGGGAGCAAACAGG